UCAUUCCUCCGGCUUGCCGUAGGAAAAAAAAAAAAAAAAAAAGCAAACUCGUGGAAGGUCGUAGGAGGAUGUCUUACGUCAAAUUGAUGUCACUGUGUGUCCCAGCUCCUGGGCUGCCGGUGUUGCUGAGCAGCACAGUCCUGGCUGCCAGUGAAGGGAAGAAGGACUCACAGCAAAGUCUCAGCAUUGAAGAACUGCCAUCUUUAUACACCAGACCUGAACCAGAGAUUUCUUUUGUUGAGCCGGAAGCAGGGCCACAGCCGCUGGAGCAGAGCAUAGCUGCAGUCAGGAAAUGGGCAGAACCAUACACGCACAAAUGUCAGCAAACAUGCCAGUCUGGACUGGACAGAGUUGAGAAAGCUUACAGCACUGUGGAGCCUACCAUCACCGCCUCCAUAACAAAGGUCACAGAUGGGUACCAGUUCCUCAGAGACCCACCUCCUGGUGUCGUCCUCAGUCUGUCAGUUGUGGGCUUCUCUGGUUUCCUGGGACUUUAUUUGUCCAAAGGUUCCAGGGUAAAGCGAUUGGUAUUUCCUGUUGGUCUCAUGGCACUUAGUGCUUCUGUGUUUUACCCUCAGCAGGCUGUCUCCUUAUUAAAGACAAGUCGAGACUCUGCAUAUACAUGGACUCAGCGCGGCCGUGUUACCAUGGAAACUCUUUGGAAAGAGCCACCGUUUGGCAAAAAGAAGACUGAGAAGAAAGAGCAAACAGAGAGGACGAAUACGACCAGCUGAGAAUGGAGGAGCACCAUCCAGACAGAAGGUGAAUUUUGACCUUCCAUCAAACAGACGCUCACUCUGGCACUGGGCAGCACUCCCCUUGAACAGCUUUCAACAUUUUACGACUGCGUGCAGAAACAACAAGGAACAUUUGGUGUCAACUGAUGCAUUCAGUUGUGCUGUCAUGUUUUUUUUAUUGUUCUUUCAGAAUGUGCACAUUUGAUUUCUCUAGAAGAAUUUAGCUCACAGUGCCAUCAUUAUAAAACAAGGUUCCGACAAUAAAGGAACAAACUUUUUUUUCCAUUGCGUUGCAACUCAGUUUUCUCAUGAAUGAAUUUAAUGUUAAUAUUUGAUUUCUGGCUAAUAAUGCAGUGUAUGUUUUUUCUUCAUACAGUCGAGUUAAUCUUACUAUCUGAGUCAACACUUUUCUUCACCGGUCUUGAAAUCAGAACAGUCACAAGUUACAUAAUCAUAAUUUAAGAAUAAAGGAUCAUGAACUGCAGGUGUAGGUGUGGUUUUCAUGUUUUGUCAUGUGAGUCAGGCCAUGAAUGCUUCCCUUGUCUUGGUGCAUGUAGUUGAAAUGGAUCACGUAGUGUCAGAUUUAUUUUUACACACAGCAAAAUAAAAUAAAAAUUGUGUGAAUAUAUUUGAGGACCUCAUGCUAGUA